GAUGAACGCUGGCGGCGUGCCUAAUACAUGCAAGUCGAGCGAACGGACGAGAAGCUUGCUUCUCUGAUGUUAGCGGCGGAAGGGGGAGUAACACGUGGAUAACCUACCUAUAAGACUGGGAUAACUUCGGGAAACCGUAGCUAAUACCGGAUAAUAUUUUGAACCGCAUGGUUCAAAAGUGAAAGACGGUCUUGCUGUCACUUAUAGAUGGAUCCGCGCUGCAUUAGCUAGUUGGUAAGGUAACGGCUUACCAAGGCAACGAUGCAUAGCCGACCUGAGAGGGUGAUCGGCCACACUGGAACUGAGACACGGUCCAGACUCCUACGGGAAGCAGCAGUAGGGAAUCUUCCGCAAUGGGCGAAAGCCUGACGGAGCAACGCCGCGUGAGUGAUGAAGGUCUUCGGAUCGUAAAACUCUGUUAUUAGGGAAGAACAUAUGUGUAAGUAACUGUGCACAUCUUGACGGUACCUAAUCAGAAAGCCACGGCUAACUACGUG
rnacentral:rRNA from 1 species